UACGUAGGGUGCGAGCGUUGUCCGGAAUUAUUGGGCGUAAAGAGCUCGUAGGCGGUGUGUCACGUCGGCCGUGAAAACCUGGGGCUUAACUCUGGGCGUGCGGUCGAUACGGGCAUCACUAGAGUUCGGCAGGGGAGACUGGAAUUCCUGGUGUAGCGGUGAAAUGCGCAGAUAUCAGGAGGAACACCGGUGGCGAAGGCAGGUCUCUGGGCCGAUACUGACGCUGAGGAGCGAAAGCGUGGGGAGCGAACAGG
rnacentral:rRNA from 1 species